UGCCCGUCCACAGAAGAGCGGUCACGUGAGUGAGAAGUCAGCCGAGAAUCUGCCCAGCUGCUAACGCUCUGUGCACUGAAACAUGUUGACGUAGACGGCGGAGGUGACAGCAGCGGGGUGAGGUACCUUGGAACCUGCCUGGAGGAGGAUUUGCAAUGUGUGCAGCAAAGGAAUAAACUCAGAACCAGUGAGCACAUUAAGAGAAGCACUGGCUCAUUCGGACCAUGCCUUCAGCAACACCGAACACAGAAUCCUUGAGGUGCUGAAGACCUAGGAGCAAGCAGGACUUUGGGGUCCCUGACUCAGAAUGAGGCGCAAUCAUGGAAACUGGGACCCCAGCAGGUCCAGGACAGAGCAAGCGGGCAGUCCCAGCAGGCUCAAAUACAGGAACGGCAUGGUGGAAGGGCCUGUCCUGGAAGACGGCUCACAUCAUGGCAGACAGGGAGUAGAGCGUGUGACAGGAAGUCUGCCUCCGGGCCACACUUCCAAGGACCGGCCUCUUCCUCCCAGACCCCACCCCUGGCAGCACACUCAGCUCUGAAUUCUUCAGUGGAUUAAUCUACUUGUAGACUGAACCAAGCAGAUCAGAGUGCUGGAUCCCAACUCACAGCCCUGAGCUGCUCUGGGUCUGGACCAGCGAGUGUGAGGAGGGAAGAGGACUCUGGACACUCUGUCAGCAGGAUUUGUAAGGAUACUGUGGAAACCAAAGUUCACAGCAAAACAUGUGACUUCCAAGUUGAAUGUGAACCAACGAAUCAGUUUUGUGGUGUCAUGAACCCAAAUAAAGAUAGGUAUAAAAA